GAGGCCCCGCGAGCGGGCCCCGGACGAGGGAGCCGUACCCGGUCACGCGACAAGACGGCCACG
rnacentral:ncRNA from 1 species